AUUGAACGCUGGCGGCAUGCUUUACACAUGCAAGUCGAACGGUAACAGGCCUUCGGGUGCUGACGAGUGGCGAACGGGUGAGUAAUGCAUCGGAACGUACCCAGAGGUGGGGGAUAACGCAGCGAAAGCUGUGCUAAUACUGCAUGGGAUCUGAGGAUGAAAGCGGGGGACCGAGCAGCAAUGUUUGGCCUCGCGCCUUUGGAGCGGCCGAUGUCGGAUUAGCUAGUUGGUGGGGUAAAGGCCUACCAAGGCGACGGUCCGUAGCUGGUCUGAGAGGACGACCAGCCACACUGGGACUGAGACACGGCCCAGACUCCUACGGGAGGCAGCAGUGGGGAAUUUUGGACAAUGGGCGCAAGCCUGAUCCAGCAAUGCCGCGUGCGGGAAGAAGGCCUUCGGGUUGUAAACCGCUUUUGGCAGGAACGAAACGGUGUCCGCUAAUACCGGGCGCUAAUGACGGUACCUGCAGAAUAAGCACCGGCUAACUACGUG
rnacentral:rRNA from 1 species